CUUAUCUCCCCAAAGUUAAAACACCAAGCUGCUUCAUUAGUUGUUUGACGAGCAGAGGAACUAUUCCUAAUUUGACUACAUCCGAUUCAUUUACAGGUGAUACAGGGCUAUGGGGCAUAGACCAUCCCGUUUCCGAGGAUUUCUAACCUGAUUUACGAAACCGCAACCAUUUCAAUUGAUGUAAGAAGUUGGAGGAAGGGUAACAUCUAGUCUAUUUUUCUCCAAAAAGUUUACAUUUUAAUCAGAAAUGAAUUAGUUAAGAUUUUAAUUAUGAAUAAACUACUAGACAGUGCUUCCAGCACACUAACCCACUUCAAGGUUCUUUUUCAACAAUUUUAGGUCCUAAUCAAGUAUGUCCAAAUAUCACAAUGGGAAAGAUUAUGUUUCAGAUCUAUAAAGACAAUUUCUCAAGUUUUUACUAUAGCUUUAUUCCUAGUUGACAAACCAUAAUUUACAAAAUACAGCUUCACAUGAAACAGUGUUUAGUUCAGGAGCUUCUUGGCUUCUUCUGGUAAUGUGUCAAGAAAUGCCACUGCUUUAAUAACCCCAUUAUUCCAUCUGACAGCGAGCGGAACAUAGUUUGGGUCUGACCAGAUUCUCAUCUGUAAGUAGAAGGUCAGUAAAUGUUUGUGGUACUUCUAUGUUCAGAUAAUGUAUACCUUCUCUAAAACUGCCGUCAGUUUAUCCUCCUGAUCUUUUGAGAUGACAAUUUCUUUUCCGGGCAGGAUUUCCUCGACAUUUUUGUAAAACAAGAAGGUUUCCUCCUGUGUACCCCAGAGUCCUUCUUGAGUUGUGACAUACACGGCGGUAGCAGGAAUACCGACACGAAUGGAAAGCCUAUGAAAGAAAAUAGGGAAUUCAUGAUACGUAGGACGAUUUCAAAUUUUAAUAAGAUAACAAUUAAAUUUUAAUACUAACUUGAAGAGUUUCCACAGCUUGCUCGCCAUAUUGCCUGUUUACACCUUUACAACAUUGCCCAGUCGGUCGCUUGGGGCAGAUAAAAAAAGGAUACGCCUACUAAAAUCAAAUGGCAUGAAAAACUUUUUCCAUUUCAUUUCUUCGAAAACAUCUUAUCGAUGAAAAACGUGAAGUUUUAUCUCUGAGUAAUAAAGGAAUAUCUCGUGCUGUCACUGAAGUGUUAAACUAGUGUUCAACGAUUGCGAACUUAAAUUUUUUUCUGUUGAUUUUUAUCGACGCUUUCGUUGCCUAGAAAGAGCCAUUAAAAUACAACACUCGUCUGCACCGCCAACUGUGACACAUUUCGGUAUUCCAAUUCCGGCUUCGGCCAGAAAUUUUUAUUAGCUGUAAUACUCGAACUUAAAUUGUCUUGGGGCUAUUGCGCUCUACUUGUGUAUCGUCGAGGUUGGGCGUACCGUUUUAAUCGGCCAUACAAGACCAUUCUAAACCCGAAAAGUACGACUUAUUAUGGCACACACAUCACAUUCUAAAUGACAGUUGCCGUCUUGAUCUCAUGAGGAUUAUUAGAAAGGUGUUUGAUGUCUAGUCAAAGAGCUUACUCCCUGCACGGACACAGAUACAGUUCUACUGUGUUGCCCUUUAAUCACCGGCAGUCAAGGGAAAGAAUGGCUGGUGGAGAUAUCUGGGUUCAAUGGUUUACUUGCUGUGUGACUCAACAACCUCCUCCGCGGAGACGAAGACCACCGAUUGAUCGUUCCAUGAUCGGUUUGCCGCAAAAUUUUCAACAUACUGCUCACAUAGGCUCAAGCGACGUGGCAAUGGGUACGAGGCAUCUAGUAGCAUUGCAGAACCACAUGCAAAGUAAAGG